GCGAUUUUAAUUGUUCGGAAGCGUUUGGGUUUGCAGUCUGUUUCAAGUCGUGGGGACACGUGCUGUUUCUUAGAACAUCUUUGCUGCACCGGCCGGAGAGUGGUUGAGUGUUUAGGGCGGUGGUUCUCCAAGUCCCGUCUCAGGACCCACAGCCUCAGCGCCGCCUGCGAGCACUGGGAAUUCCAACUCCCCUGUUCGCCCCAGACGCGCGGACUCAGAAACCCAGCAAGUGUGUUUCAGCGAGCCCGCAGGGGCCCGGCGCCCGCCUGGGCUGGAGGGCCACGGCGCCACGGAGGCCGGCGAUCGGCGUGUGCAUGGAAACGGUGGUCACAUAAGAGGUGCCGCUGGGUGGACGGUACGAGGGACGACCCAGGACGGUAGAGGACACAACGGUUUGGGGGUCAUGGUUUUGUGACCGUGGCCCACGCCCUGAGGACGCCCUGCAGAGUGACACGGUCCCCAGGGGAGUGGCCUGUGCCCCAGGCAGAUGUGCUUCUCUCUUCAGUUGGGGGCCGGGGUGGGUGCUGGGCCGGACGUCCGUCUGUACCUGCAGUGUCCCUGAGACCUGGACGUGGCCCGUGUAGCGGGGGAUGGAGACCGACGGCCAGUCCAGGGCCAGGGCCGGGCAGAUCUGGGAAUACGAAGAGGUGCUCUUCCCUGCCCGUCUGAGAGGGGGUGGAGCCUUCUCCUGCCAGCUCUGGUUGGUUCUCAGGCCCUGGUCUUCCUGGUG
rnacentral:lncRNA from 1 species